rnacentral:tRNA from 1 species
GGCAGGGAAUGUGUUACGGCUGAUUCGUAAUCAGCAGGUCGCCGGUUCAAGCCCGGCGGGUGGCUCCA